rnacentral:pre_miRNA from 1 species
AUGUUACUCCAUCCGUCCAACAAAAAUCUGAAGUUUGUCAAAAUUUGGAUGUACUAAACAUGAUUUAGUGUAUAAAUGCAUUCAAAUAUAGUCAAAAUUGAGAAAUUCUUUGUUGGAUGGAGGAAGUACAUU